rnacentral:rRNA from 1 species
AACGAACGCUGGCGGCAGGCCUAACACAUGCAAGUCGAGCGAGGACUUCGGUCCUAGCGGCGGACGGGUGAGUAACGCGUGGGAACGUGCCCCUUGGUACGGAAUAGCCCCGGGAAACUGGGAGUAAUACCGUAUGAGCUCUACGGAGGAAAGAUUUAUCGCCAAGGGAUCGGCCCGCGUUGGAUUAGGUAGUUGGUGGGGUAAUGGCCUACCAAGCCGACGAUCCAGAGCUGGUUUGAGAGGAUGGUCAGCCACACUGGGACUGAGACACGGCCCAGACUCCUACGGGAGGCAGCAGUGGGGAAUCUUAGACAAUGGGCGCAAGCCUGAUCUAGCCAUGCCGCGUGAGCGAUGAAGGCCUUAGGGUUGUAAAGCUCUUUCAGCUGGGAAGAUAAUGACUGUACCAGCAGAAGAAGCCCCGGCUAACUCCGUGCCAGCAGCCGCCGUAA